rnacentral:lncRNA from 1 species
GUUUCUUUGAUAGGUCUUAUAAGAUUUUCUCUUUCUUGUGGGGUCUGUUAUGAUAAUUACCUAUUUUGCCUAAGUUUUCAAAUUGAGCUAUUCAUAUUUUUUCCUUAGGAUUAAAAAAUUCCCAUUGUAUCUGUAGUUAUGUCCCCUUUUCAUGUAUUCCUAAUAUCAACAUUUAAAACUAAUUUGUCCUUUUAAGUACCUACCUCAGCUUAUCCCAUGUAUUUUGAUAUAAAUGACAGCACUUUUAUUUUUCUGUCACUUCUAAGUAUUUCCAAAUUUACAUUGUUAUUUCUUCUUAAACCCAUGAUUUAGAAACAUUUAACAUUUUCAGACAUGAGUUUUAAAAAUCACUUUUAACUUUUAAUUAAAUUAUAUUCAGGAAAUAUAAUCUACCAGAUAUCAAUUCUUUCUUGUGGCAUGAUCUCGGCUCACUGCAGUCGUAUCUCCUGGGCUGAAUUGAUCCUCUCACCUCAGCCUCCUGAGUAGCUGGGACUACAGGCACAUACCAUCAUGCCUGGCUAAUUUUUGAAUUUUUUAUAGAAAUGGGGUUUCGCCAUGUUGCCCAGGCUAAUUCUUUCUUAUUAGUUGAGAUUUACUUUGUGGUUUCAUGUGAAGUCAAAUUUUCUAAACAUUUCAUUUGUGCUUGAGUUGAAUUUUUUUUUCCUAAUUAGCGGAUUCAGGAUACUAUAUAGGCUCACAAGGUUUUCUAUAUUCUUUUAACACCUUUAUUGAAGUGUAAUUUAUAUAUUAUACAACUCAUCCCUUUUAAAUUGUACAAUUUAAGGUUUUUAGUAAAUUUACAAAGUUGUGCAAUGAUCACUACAGUACAGCUUUAGAAUGUUUUGCCUCAAAAAGGCAAGUACAAAAGGCAGGAAAAGUUAUGGGAGAAGGAAAGGAAACCUUUCUGUUUUUGGUAACCCUUGUUUCCAUCUUUUUAAUUGAUUUUUGUAUGCUUGACUCAUCAGUUUCAGAGAGACAUAAAUAUAAAUAUGCACCCACUAUGAUUGUGGUUUUGUUGAUUUCUCUUUGUAAUACUGUAAUUUUUUGCUUUACAUAUUUUGUGGCUAUUUUAUUAAGUACAUACAAGUUUGAAAUUAUUAUAUUUUAGAGGCAAAUUGUUCAUUGCCUCAUUAAAAUGAGAAGGCUAAAAAUUAUUUUUCUCAAUAUGUGCAAUCUAUCUUUAUAUCUAAAAAUGCCCUUGGUCUUUAUUCCAUUUGCUAUUAAUUUCAUUUAUUACUUUAUUUCAUUUGGCAUUAAUCCAGUUACAGUAGCCUCCUUCAGGUUAAUAUUUACUUGAUAUAUUUUUCUACCACAUUACUUUAAGUUUCCAUGUCUUUAAAUUAUAUGUAUUUCUGUUGAAAUCAGUGUAUAAUUGGAUUUCAUCUUUUGUUUAAUCUGAAAAUCUCUGUCUUUUAAUAGAUGAAUUUAAUCUAUUUAUAUUCAAUAUGAUUGUUGACAUAUCUGCCUUUAUUUCUACCUAUUAUUUGGUGUUUUUUAUUUACUAUACUUUUUUUUUCUUUCCUUUCCUUUCCUUCUCCCAUCACUUUUCCUGCCUUAUGUACUUGAUUGAAUUUCCCCCCCAAUUCUCCACCAAUUCUGGUUUGGAAAUAAUGCCUUCUGCCUUCUACAUUCACACACACACACACACAGACACACACACACACACACACACACACACACGUAUUACAUUUGCGUUAGCAUUUUAGUUCUAUAAGUUUUACUCUUAUACUAACAAAUGUUUUUAAGAUUUACACACAUAUUUAUCAUUUCUUGGCGUGAAAUUAUCUCUUGCAUCUUAUUUCUUCCUUCUGGGUUAAAUAUCUUCUUUCUGAAAUACAUAUUUUAGAAGUUUUCCAUUGAGAGUGUGUUAAUAUUAAGGCUCUGAUUUUCUGUGUGUCUGAAAAUGUCUUAUCUUUACUGUUGAAUAAAAAUGUAUUUGGGAAUAGAA